rnacentral:rRNA from 1 species
AACGACUCUCGGCAACAGAUAUCUCGGCUCUCGCAUCGAUGAAGAACGUAGCGAAAUGCGAUACUUGGUGUGAAUUGCAGAAUCCCGUGAACCAUCGAGUCUUUGAAUGCAAGUUGCGCCCGAAGUCACUAGGCAGAGGCCACGUCUGUCUGGGCGUCACGC